AUUGAACGCUGGCGGCAGGCCUAACACAUGCAAGUCGAGCGGAUGAGAGGAGCUUGCUCCUUGAUUUAGCGGCGGACGGGUGAGUAAUGCCUAGGAAUCUGCCUGGUAGUGGGGGAUAACGUUCCGAAAGGAACGCUAAUACCGCAUACGUCCUACGGGAGAAAGCAGGGGACCUUCGGGCCUUGCGCUAUCAGAUGAGCCUAGGUCGGAUUAGCUAGUUGGUGAGGUAAUGGCUCACCAAGGCGACGAUCCGUAACUGGUCUGAGAGGAUGAUCAGUCACGCUGGAACUGAGACACGGUCCAGACUCCUACGGGAGGCAGCAGUGGGGAAUAUUGGACAAUGGGCGAAAGCCUGAUCCAGCCAUGCCGCGUGUGUGAAGAAGGUCUUCGGAUUGUAAAGCACUUUAAGUUGGGAGGAAGGGCAGUAAGCUAAUACCUUGCUGUUUUGACGUUACCGACAGAAUAAGCACCGGCUAACUUCGUG
rnacentral:rRNA from 1 species